rnacentral:ncRNA from 1 species
GCAACCGAACACGGGCGCUCGAGGUAUCGAGCUGAGAUCGCGCUGUAAUCCCCGCGCGAGUACCGCUAGAACCUGCCUGGUUAGAACCAGCGAAGGAAGAAUGAGGAGAGACUUU